GCGAAAGUCGUGGGCGCGGUUUUUUGAGCCUUGUCAGGGGCAGAAACUUAGAAGAAACGCAGAUAACUGUGCUGCUGGAAGGACUUUAGUGGGCUAUUUAAAUAUUACAGGCGUGCCUAAUCGUACAUGACUUUGAGGAGACGACGUGCGCUACAAUCCCAGCACGUCGAAUUUGAAUAUGGACAGAAACAGAUCAGACAUUAGCCACUUCUAUUGAUCCUCAAAUAGGGGCAGAGCUGUCUGUUUUGAACGCCGCUGCCCGGUCGAUCCCAUCUGACCUACUGUUCACAAGAGGCUGAGAAGAACAAGAAGAUAAAGGGUGAGAGAUGUGGAGGAAAGAGUCUGAGGGAGGUGGAAAGGAGGAGACAGAGAUGGAAGGGGACUGAGAGGACAUUCUGUAUAUUUGGUUUGUGGUCAUGACUUGGAGCCUAAUGAGAGUUCAGAUGUGUGAAUCUUGGAAGAAUGAAACAUUUUACAGGUAUUUCCAUUACUUGAACCCCUUCACCGUGGUCAUCUCCUCUCUACAUCUCAAGACCGCCGACGUACAUGGCGAGCUAACUGGACAAACUGGUAACAGCAGAAAGCCAUCCAUUCAGAGCAGCUCUCAGCAUUUACCUCUUCAUUCUGUCGCCACUUGACAACGCAGACUCUUCAGAGGCCUGCCUGAUGCCCAUCAGCGUGAGGGACUCAAGUCUUCAUCCUUCAUCAUCACAGCACAAAGACAUCUGGACGAUUGUCAAGGACGUCACAAUCUCUGAUAGCUGACGUCUCCCAAUGGGGCAUCACAGUAAGAGGCGAAGGAAGUCACUCUUGCGUGAGCAAAUACAAUAUGGGUGUGAUGGCUGAAUAUGAUGGAGUGACCCUGAAGUCCUUGACAGUAAACCUCCAGGAGUAUAAGCGAAGACCUCUGAUGCACGGUGUGGUCUUUGUUGCCUGUCUCUGUGAGCUUUAAAAUCAAGCCCGAUACUAAAGGUCCAUUGGAUACGUCUAGAACUGUUGAAUGUGUUGUUUUUGACAUGGGCAUCAGAGCAGAUCAGUCAAGUACAUAAUGGUGAAAUUAUGAAUGUGUCAGUCACUCUCAAUACCAGCAGUUUGAGAGCCCUCUCAGUGUCAACAACACAACAACUUCAAAAACAAACCUCUCCCGCCGCACCCCUCACCGCUCUCAAUGGCUUUUAACAGUGUUCAUCGGCUGCAUUGAAACGUAAUACAUGACCCUUGUGCUUGAGUAGACAAAUACAGAUAGAUAGCAAUUACGUAAACCACAAUCAAUAAAAAAAAUUCUGCCAACUUCCCAGGCUAUUUCUGCUCUUCAGAUGUGCUCGGCGAAAAAUUAGGCUUUGUGAAAAUCAAAACGCUUUAAAUCAAACCGCGUUAUGGGCCCGCUGCAACAAAAACAAGGAGCAUAUUGGAUUUACUAAUUUCGGAUGAGGAAGGACACUAGUUCAACUUAAGUAAUACCGAAUAAAGGGCUUGAUUGAAUUUCAGUGAUGUCAUUACGGGGUCACAUUUCAAUGUGUAAUAUGAUAUAAAUUUGGUUAAGGCUGCUUCCCUCGUCUACAGGGUCUGCUCGGCUUGUGCUUUUAAGCCGCACGGUUCUCUCAGCACACUUGAUGAUGGAUAGCUACAGGUCUGCCCAUUGCGUUAGUGCUCAUUAAAGUUCAUCCUGAUGCCAUUGUCAUGAUGGCAGGAACGCU
rnacentral:lncRNA from 1 species